GAUGAACGCUGGCGGCGUGCCUAAUACAUGCAAGUCGAGCGAACGGACGAGAAGCUUGCUUCUCUGAUGUUAGCGGCGGACGGGUGAGUAACACGUGAAUAACCUACCUAUAAGACUGGGAUAACUUCGGGAAACCGGAGCUAAUACCGGAUAAUAUUUUGAACCGCAUGGUUCAAAAGUGAAAGACGGUCUUGCUGUCACUUAUAGAUGGAUCCGCGCUGCAUUAGCUAGUUGGUAAGGUAACGGCUUACCAAGGCAACGAUGCAUAGCCGACCUGAGAGGGUGAUCGGCCACACUGGAACUGAGACACGGUCCAGACUCCUACGGGAGGCAGCAGUAGGGAAUCUUCCGCAAAGGGCGAAAGCCUGACGGAGCAACGCCGCGUGAGUGAUGAAGGUCUUCGGAUCGUAAAACUCUGUUAUUAGGGAAGAACAUAUGUGUAAGUAACUGUGCACAUCUUGACGGUACCUAAUCAGAAAGCCACGGCUAACUACGUG
rnacentral:rRNA from 1 species